CGGGGAUUAGCGCAGCUUGGUAGCGCGCCACGUUCGGGACGUGGAGGCCGGGAGUUCAAAUCUCCCAUCCCCGACAA
rnacentral:tRNA from 2 species